UACGUAGGGGGCGAGCGUUGUCCGGAUUCAUUGGGCGUAAAGCGCUUUAAGGCGGUUCGCUAAGUCGCGUGUGAAAACUCCAGGCUCAACCUGGAGACGCCACGUGAUACUGGCGUGACUAGAGUUCGGUAGGGGAUCACGGAAUUCCUGGUGUAGCGGUGAAAUGCGCAGAUAUCAGGAGGAACACCGGUGGCGAAGGCGGUGAUCUGGGCCGACACUGACGCUGUAGAGCGAAAGCGUGGGGAGCGAACAGG
rnacentral:rRNA from 2 species